rnacentral:rRNA from 1 species
AGUCGAACGGUAGCACAGGGGAGCUUGCUCCCCGGGUGACGAGUGGCGGACGGGUGAGUAAUGUCUGGGGAUCUGCCCGAUGGAGGGGGAUAACUACUGGAAACGGUAGCUAAUACCGCAUAACCUCGAAAGAGCAAAGUGGGGGACCUUCGGGCCUCACACCAUCGGAUGAACCCAGAUGGGAUUAGCUAGUAGGUGGGGUAACGGCUCACCUAGGCGACGAUCCCUAGCUGGUCUGAGAGGAUGACCAGCCACACUGGAACUGAGACACGGUCCAGACUCCUACGGGAGGCAGCAGUGGGGAAUAUUGCACAAUGGGCGCAAGCCUGAUGCAGCCAUGCCGCGUGUAUGAAGAAGGCCUUCGGGUUGUAAAGUACUUUCAGCGGGGAGGAAGGGAUGAAGGUUAAUAACCUUCGUCAUUGACGUUACCCGCAGAAGAAGCACCGGCUAACUCCGUGCCAGCAGCCGCGGUAAUACGGAGGGUGCAAGCGUUAAUCGGAAUUACUGGGCGUAAAGCGCACGCAGGCGGUUUGUUAAGUCAGAUGUGAAAUCCCCGGGCUCAACCUGGGAACUGCAUUUGAAACUGGCAAGCUUGAGUCUCGUAGAGGGGGGUAGAAUUCCAGGUGUAGCGGUGAAAUGCGUAGAGAUCUGGAGGAAUACCGGUGGCGAAGCGGCCCCCUGGACGAAGACUGACGCUCAGGUGCGAAAGCGUGGGGAGCAAACAGGAUUAAUACCCUGGUAGUCCAC